GAUGAACGCUGGCGGCGUGCCUAAUACAUGCCAGUCGAGCGAACGGACGAGAAGCUUGCUUUUCUGAUGUUAGCGGCGGACGGGUGAGUAACACGUGGAUAACCUACCUAUAAGACUGGGAUAACUUCGGGAAACCGGAGCUAAUACCGGAUAAUAUUUUGAACCGCAUGGUUCAAAAGUGAAAGACGGUCUUGCUGUCACUUAUAGAUGGAUCCGCGCUGCAUUAGCUAGUUGGUAAGGUAACGGCUUACCAAGGCAACGAUGCAUAGCCGACCUGAGGGGGUGAUCGGCCACACUGGAACUGAGACACGGUCCAGACUCCUACGGGAGGCAGCAGUAGGGAAUCUUCCGCAAUGGGCGAAAGCCUGACGGAGCAACGCCGCGUGAGUGAUGAAGGUCUUCGGAUCGUAAAACUCUGUUAUUAGGGAAGAACAUAUGUGUAAGUAACUGUGCACAUCUUGACGGUACCUAAUCAGAAAGCCACGGCUAACUACGUG
rnacentral:rRNA from 1 species